rnacentral:lncRNA from 1 species
UGCCUAAAAGGUGAACGAGGACAACAUUUCAUCCGUCACUCCGAUUGAGGUGAUUCAAACAAUCACCUUCUCUGUUUGUUGACCUCUUUUUGAUGGGACUAUUUUCUUUAUGUUUGCACAUUCUCAAAAUGCCCAUUUUGCCCUUGCUCUAAUUCAGCCCCUCUGAGAGAGAACCGUUCUCUGGAAAAAUUUCCGCGAGUUGAUUGCACUCAUUUCCGGAGUAUUCCUCGACCCCAGGCAAGCCAACCUCUUAUCAUAAGCCCCGUCCUUGCGGUUGCUUGCACCUUGUGUGUGUGCUUAGUUGUAGUAGUUUCUUGCUUGUUUCGUCUUCUGUUAUUUCAGUCUUGCUUUUAUAAUUAUGUUGUGUGCCUUGCAUGUUUGUGCUUUCAUGCUAUCUUUGGACAUGCUAGUUGGAUAUUGCUAUUCAUAAUAUCAUGCCUCUGUUUUGAUUGAUGUCAGUAGACUUGAUGCCAUGAUGAUUCUGUUACCUUGUCAAUAUGCUAGUACCUGGAAUUGUCAUGUUUCAUAUGCUAUAGUUGUUCACUUGAGAAGCUUGGUAUUUGUUAAUGCAUUUGUAUGUUGCAUGCUUGUUGUUGCAUUCAUGAUAAAUAUGCUCAUAGUGUUGAUGAUGAUGGAGAAUUUAAUAAUAUAACUUAAUAGUAAACCUCCUCCGUCCUUGAUGGGAUCGAGUCAUAGUGCCACCAAAUCGAACUUUCUCCCAUGUAGCCACAUUUGCCUUUAUGGGAGGGCCCUAGAUGGGUCUAUUAUCAUGCUUCUCACCGGUGCCUCCAAUGAGGGAAGGUUAUGGGCGCACGCUACCCUGAUCAGGUAGGCGGACAUAAGCCUUGUGUGCCCGUAGUUGGAUGAUAAGCGCUUUUGUCCCCGUUUGGGACCGUUUUUGUUUUGCACAUGACGGUGGCUGUUUUGCCAUGACGGUGGCCGUUGUGCCUUUGGUAGGCACGGGGCCACCCUGGACUGAACCCCAAGGGGUGUUGGUCGGAGUGGUCGGGAGAGUGUCAUGGCAGUUCGUCGGUUUUGUCGGUCCACCAGAAUUGGAGUACAAGGCCAUGGGUUCCGUGGUGUGGGUACAGUGUGCUACCUCUGCACAUUGUGUGUUAAAACUAUUGAUAGCCGUGUCAUCGAUCAUAGGCACAAGUCCGUAGUAGGUCACACUAUCGGGUCUUGGUCGAAAUGGAGGAUAAACCUGAAAUAACUAAGUUGAUGAAUAAUGUGUAAUGAAUAAUGUGGUGACUUGGACUAUGAGAUAGUCGUGAGAAGUCACGGUGAUGUUUUGACAUGAUCACGAGAGGAGGUCUCGGUGGGUGUUGAACCAAGUGUUGUUUUAUAUGUGAUGUGUGAAUGAUCACCAUUUAGUUACGAGGUAAGCCGUUGGUAAGAGAGUCCGAAGGACUCGGUGCACAAGUGUUGGUUGCAGUGCAUGAGUAACAUGUUGUUAUUUGCAUUUAAAGAGUCGUGUCAGAAUAAAAGAUUGUUGCAUAAAGUUAACACAUUAUGUUUGCAUGUGAAGUAACUGGUAGGUUAUUUUCAGCAUAGUUUCAUGAUGCCAUGCCAUGCUUUGAUUGAAAUGCUAGAUUAUGCCAUGCUUUGAAAUAUCAUGUUAUGAUCAAGAUGCUAUGCUAUGUUUUGCCAUUGUCAUGUUUCGAUUGAAUUGCUAGAUGAUGCCAUGUUAUGAAUUGCCAUGUUUUGCUGCUACAAAGUUAGAAGCAUGUUUUGAUAUGUCAUGUUAUUGCCAUGCUAGUAGUUGUUGAUACUUUGUUUGAUUUAUGUCGCCAGCUAAUAUUAUGCCAUGCUUAUAAAUUGUGAUGAGUUAAAUUAUAGCAUGCGCUUGGUUCUUGUUUGUCAUAUGUUUGUUUGGAUGCUAUAUAUUUGUUGGUCUUGCAAGUACAGUCAAUGUACUGAACGAGCGUGUCAUGCCAGUUUUGUAGGUAAUGUCUGAAUUGUUUGCUUGUUCCGUCAUGCUAGGCCGUAAUCUUGCCGGUCCUGUGAGUUGUGGUGGCCAGCCAGAGUCGACAUGCUGUCAAACCAAGACUUCCGCCGCCAUUUAAAUAGCCUUAGAGCUAUGCCAGAUGAUUCUUGUAUACAUGUAUUUGAUGAAUAUUAUCAUACUUGGAAUGCUGUAUCAUUGAACAGUCGUGCGUCAG